AUCUGGGUAAACGCCUUGACCAAACCCCCUGGGCUGCCACAAUGCAUACUGACUUUAACUAUACAUUCAUGUACAUACUACCUCAUUUGGGCCGACCAACCAGUACAUUGGCUAACCGGGCUAUCUGCAUUGUGUCCCGCCACCCACCAACUGCCAACCCCUCUUUUAUGCUGCUGCUACUCUCUGUUCAUCAUAUAAGCAUAGUCACUUUAACCAUAUCUACAUGUACAUACUACCACAAUCAGCCUGACUAACCGGUGUCUGUAUGUACCCUUAUAGCCUCGCUACUGUAUAUAGCCUGUCUUUUUACUGUUGUUUUUAUUUCUUUACUUACCUAGUGUUCACCUAAUACCUUUUUUGCACUAUUGGUUAGAGCCUGUAAGUAAGCAUUUCACUGUAAGGUCUACACCUGUUGUAUUCAGCAUUUUACUGUGAGGUCUACUACACCUGUUGUAUUCAGCAUUUCACUGUGAGGUCUACUACACCUGUUGUAUUCAGCAUUUCACUAUGAGGUCUACUAUACCUGUUGUAUUCGGCGCACGUGACAAAUAAACUUUGAUUUGAUUAUUAAAGUCUACAGCUACAAUAAAUGUGGCCUCAGGAUAUGUGGUUUCCAGAACAAAGCCCAGUGUAGUUCCUUGAGAGCCGUCAAAUGUGUCAGCUUGAGGGGGAAUAUAAACAGCCGUGACGAACUCAAAGAUAAUUCUCUUGGGAGGUAACGCGGUCGGCAUUUGAUGGUGUGGUAUUCCUGAUCGGGAGAAGAAAAGGACUUGAGUUCAUGUACAUUACCACAAUCACACCAGGAGUAUUUAAUCAAGAAAUAUACACCUCCACAUUUCUUUUUCUCUAAGAGUUCUUUCUUUCUUGUCCGUGUGAUGUACAGAGACUACUCUGCAUCCCACUGCUGGCUUCGCCUCUGAAGCUGAGCAGGGUUGGUCCCUUGAUGGGAGACCAGAUGCUGCUGGAAGUGGUGUUGGAGGGCCAGUAGGAGGCACUCUUUCCUCUGGUCAUCUUUUGGAUGGGACGUUAAACCAGUG
rnacentral:lncRNA from 1 species